rnacentral:piRNA from 1 species
UAGGAAUUGUAAAAGUUGGGUAUCAAAC